UCGAGCGGGGUAGCAAUAUCCAGCGGCGGACGGGUGAGGAAUACAUAGGAAUCUGCCUUUAGGUGGGGGAUAGCUUGGGGAAACUCAAGGUAAUACCGCAUGAUCUCGCAAGAGCAAAGUGGGGGACCGCAAGGCCUCACGCCUUUAGAGGAGCCUAUGUCUGAUUAGCUAGUUGGUGAGGUAAUGGCUCACCAAGGCGACGAUCAGUAACUGGUCUGAGAGGACGAUCAGUCACACCGGAACUGAGACACGGUCCGGACUCCUACGGGAGGCAGCAGUGGGGAAUAUUGGACAAUGGGCGAAAGCCUGAUCCAGCAAUUCCGCGUGUGUGAAGAAGGCCUUCGGGUUGUAAAGCACUUUAGGUUGGGAAGAAAAAACUUCUCCUAAUACGAGAAGCGUUGACGGUACCAACAGAAUAAGCACCGGCUAACUCUGUGCCAGCAGCCGCGGUAAUACAGAGGGUGCAAGCGUUAAUCGGAUUUACUGGGCGUAAAGCGUGCGUAGGUGGUUUCGUAAGUCGGAUGUGAAAGCCCCGGGCUCAACCUGGGAACUGCAUUCGAUACUGCGAGACUCGAGUUUGGUAGAGGGUGGCGGAAUUCCCGGUGUAGCGGUGAAAUGCGUAGAUAUCGGGAGGACAUCAAUGGCGAAGGCAGCCACCUGGGCCUGAACUGACA
rnacentral:rRNA from 1 species